rnacentral:rRNA from 1 species
GACGAACCGGGCGAGCGUUGUUCGGAAUUAUUGGGCGUAAAGGGUGCGUAGGCGGUUUGGUAAGUCUUAUGUGAAAUCUACAGGCUCAACUUGUAGUCUGCAUGAGAAACUGCCGGGCUUGAGUAUGGGAGAGGUGAGUGGAAUUCCUGGUGUAGCGGUGAAAUGCGUAGAUAUCGGGAGGAACACCUGUGGCGAAAGCGGCGCACUGGACCACAACUGACGCUGAGGCGCGAAAGCUAGGGGAGCAAACAGG